UGGGGAAUCUUGGACAAUGGGCGCAAGCCUGAUCCAGCCAUGCCGCGUGGAUGAUGAAGGCCUUAGGGUUGUAAAAUCCUUUCGCCGAGGACGAUAAUGACGGUACUCGGAGAAGAAGCUCCGGCUAACUUCGUGCCAGCAGCCGCGGUAAUACGAAGGGGGCUAGCGUUGUUCGGAUUUACUGGGCGUAAAGCGCGUGUAGGCGGGUCGUUAAGUUGGGGGUGAAAUCCCGAGGCUCAACCUCGGAACUGCCUUCAAAACUGGCGACCUGGACCUAAGUAGAGGCAAGUGGAAUUGCGAGUGUAGAGGUGAAAUUCGUAGAUAUUCGGAAGAACACCAGUGGCGAAGGCGGCUCACUGGACGUGUAUUGACGCUGAGGUACGAAAGCGUGGGGAGCAAACAGGAUUAGAUACCCCCGUAGUCCCUGAGCGGGCUGGCAAGGCGCAU
rnacentral:rRNA from 1 species